GGAAAAUUAUCGAUACAGGUGGGACGUCUAGACUUCAAAUCGAGGAAAGGCUAUUAAACAAUCCUUAGUGGGUUCGACUCCCAUAUUUUUCC
rnacentral:tRNA from 1 species